GGCAGCCGGAAGGUGAGGGUGUGCGUCAGUCGAGGUGCGAGGAACGCAACUAAAUUACUCCCCUAGAGAUGGUGUCUUGGGACGUGGUUAUUGGCAUCAGUUUCUUCGUUGCAGUUUUCUUUUUAGGAGUCGUGGUUCGAGCCUACGAGGUGGUUUCGCACUACCAUGGCACCCAACGUCCUCGAAAAUAAAUUUGCGAGGAGAUCUUCAUUUUUACGUCACUUGACUUCACGUUCUCAGUCGCACGAACAUUUGAACUCUCGUAGUGAUGAACAUCGGCGACAGAAGGAGCGGCUCACUCUACGUCAACUACAAUCGGCGAUGCAGCGGAAAAAAAUCCCCUCUAGACGACCCAAAUGGCCGAUGAAACAGCGAUUCUUGAAGAAAUACGUCCGUCUCCGGACUCCUGGGGCUCGGUCUCGAACAAAGACGGUUCUAAUUGAAGAUGAUUGUAUGAUGACGAAUGGUGCAGUUACACCUUGUUCUUCAAAGGAAGUUAGAUCACGACGAGCGGGCGGAAAGAAGCAUAAAAUUGGGACACGACCUCGAAACGAGGUUGUCGACAAAGAUAUUGAAAUUCCUUCUUGUGAGACAAGCUUUCAUUCCAAGGCCACAGCGUCUCCAUCCCGCAAGUACAGGAGCAAUUUUUGGAAGUUGAAUUUGUUGCGGAAGGUCAUCAGCUACAUCAGUCAUCUGAAAAAUUUGCUGAAAUCUUCCAGCGAUCAAGACGAUGAUAUGAUUUUUUUGCAGACUGAAUUAACCAGCCUUGCGUUGUCAGUGCAUCCAUAAACUUAUUCGUCAAGUCAUUUU